UACGAAGGGGGCUAGCGUUGCUCGGAAUCACUGGGCGUAAAGGGUGCGUAGGCGGGUCUUUAAGUCAGGGAUGAAAUCCUGGAGCUCAACUCCAGAACUGCCUUUGAUACUGAAGAUCUUGAGUCCGGGAGAGGUGAGUGGAACUGCGAGUGUAGAGGUGAAAUUCGUAGAUAUUCGCAAGAACACCAGUGGCGAAGGCGGCUCACUGGCCCGGUACUGACGCUGAGGCACGAAAGCGUGGGGAGCAAACAGG
rnacentral:rRNA from 1 species